rnacentral:rRNA from 1 species
AGUGGGGAAUCUUGGACAAUGGGCGCAAGCCUGAUCCAGCCAUGCCGCGUGAGUGAUGAAGGCCCUAGGGUUGUAAAGCUCUUUCACCGGUGAAGAUAAUGACGGUAGCCGGAGAAGAAGCCCCGGCUAACUCCGUGCCAGCAGCCGCGGUAAUACGGAGGGGGCUAGCGUUGUUCGGAAUUACUGGGCGUAAAGCGCACGUAGGCGGGUAUCCAAGUUGGGGGUGAAAUCCCGGGGCUCAACCCCGGAACUGCCUCCAAAACUGGGUACCUAGAGUCCGAGAGAGGGGAGUGGAAUUCCCAGUGUAGAGGUGAAAUUCGUAGAUAUUGGGAAGAACACCAGUGGCGAAGGCGGCUCACUGGCUCGGUACUGACGCUGAGGUGCGACAGCGUGGGGAGCAAACAGGAUUAGAUACCCUGGUAGUCCACGCCGUAAACGAUGAGAGCUAGUUGUCGGGCAGCAUGCUGUUCGGUGACGCAGCUAACGCAUUAAGCUCUCCGCCUGGGGAGUACGGUCGCAAGAUUA